UACGUAGGGCGCAAGCGUUGUCCGGAAUUAUUGGGCGUAAAGAGCUCGUAGGCGGUCUGUUACGUCCGCUGUGAAAACCCAGGGCUUAACCCUGGGCUUGCAGUGGAUACGGGUAGACUAGAGGCAGGUAGGGGAGAAUGGAAUUCCCGGUGUAGCGGUGAAAUGCGCAGAUAUCGGGAGGAACACCUGUGGCGAAGGCGGUUCUCUGGGCCUGACCUGACGCUGAGGAGCGAAAGCGUGGGGAGCGAACAGG
rnacentral:rRNA from 1 species